rnacentral:lncRNA from 1 species
ACCUGUUCGGACUGGUGGGGCAGAUUCAGUGACUAUCUUUCCCUUUGUAAACCAGUUUUUAUUCUUUCGAAAUGGAUGAUUGGCCGGUAAAAACUUUCGAUGAUUAUCAAACCAUGUAGUUUUUCCACCAUGUGAAAGGCUAUAUGCAUCAUGAUCAUGAGCACAAUGGGGACAAGCUAAAUGACCAGCAGUUUUCCAUCCAAACAACAUUGAAUAAGCAGGGAAGUCACUAACAGUCCACAUCAAAGCAGCUCGCAUACGAAAAUUUUGUUUCAAAGAAUUAUCCCAAGUCUCCACACCAACUUCCCAUAACAUUCUCAACUCAGCAAUCAAUGGUUGAAGAAAAACAUCUAUCUUUUGUUUUGGAUUUUUUGGUCCGGGCACAAGUACGGACAUAAAUAAGUACUGUUCUUUUGAGCACAUCCACGGAGGCAAAUUGUAUGGAGUUAUUAUAAUAUGCUAGGUUAAUCAACCUAGGUCCAAAAAGUCUAUUAAAAGUAUUAUCUAUAAUAUAAGGUUAAAGGGAUUAUAUUACAUUGUACAUUAUUCACAAAAGGUUUAAUUGAAUCACCAAUUAUUAUUUUUACUUGGGUAGCAAUGAUGUAUUCGACAAAUCAUUGCGAUAUCAUCUCUUGCCUUCGAAUUAUCUUUGGUUUUACCUUCAAUGGCCAUGAUAGUGUUGAAGAUAUUUUCAAAGACAUUCUUCUCAAUAUGCAUAACAUCAAGAUUAUGUCUAAUUGAUAGUGUCCUCCAAUAUGGUAAAUCCCAAAAGAUGCUUCUUUUUUUCCAUCCACAAUUAUAAGCUUUAAUGACUCUAGCAUUGUGCUCUUCACUUCCCAAUUCAGUAACUUUCAUCAAACCAAGUGACUCUAUUUCUUAAAAACACAUCUUCACCUGUUCGGACUGGUGGGGCAGAUUCGGUGACUAUCUUUCCCUUUGUAAACCAGUUUUUAUUCUUUCGAAAUGGAUGAUUGGCCGGUAAAAACUUUCGAUGAUUAUCAAACCAUGUAGUUUUUCCACCAUGUGAAAGGCUAUAUGCAUCAUGAUCAUGAGCACAAUGGGGACAAGCUAAAUGACCAGCAGUUUUCCAUCCAAACAACAUUGAAUAAGCAGGGAAGUCACUAACAGUCCACAUCAAAGCAGCUCGCAUACGAAAAUUUUGUUUCAAAGAAUUAUCCCAAGUCUCCACACCAACUUCCCAUAACAUUUUCAACUCAGCAAUCAAUGGUUGAAGGAAAACAUCUAUCUUUUGUUUUGGAUUUUUUGGUCCGGGCACAAGUACGGACAGAAAUAAGUACUGUUCUUUUGAGCACAUCCACAGAGGCAAAUUGUAUGGAGUUACUAUAAUUGGCCAACAAGAAUAUGAUUUAUCAGUUGCACCAAAUGGUUGAAACCCAUCAGCAGAAAGUCCCAGUCUAACAUUUCUCGUCUCUGAGGAAAAUGAGGGAUGUGCUCUAUCAAAUUGUUUCCACUCCUCCGAAUCUGAACAAUGACGCAUCACACCUUCUUCUUCAUCAUGUUCAGCAUGCCAUCUCAUAUGCGUUGCUGUCGUAGGCCAAGCAUAUAACCUUUGCAAUCUCGGUGCUAAUGGAAAAUAGAUCAUCCUUCUAACAGGCACUUUCUUUCUCUCCUUCUUGGCUUUGUUAAGUCUUGUUUUGUAUCUAGCAUGCGAACAAAAUUUACAAGACUCCAUGUUGAUGUCUUCACCCCAGUAUAUCAUGCAUCCAUUAACACAACAAUC